GAGGGUUUAGCUCAGUGGUAGAGUAUGUGCCUAGCAUGCACAAGAUCCUGGGUUCAAUCCCUGGUACCUCCA
rnacentral:tRNA from 1 species